rnacentral:rRNA from 1 species
AUGAGUUGCAGUGACCACAUACACAAGCUUAUGGACUCUUCUCAGGUGGCAGAAGGUUGCUGCAUGGACAUUUCAGCGGUCGAUCAGCAUGGUUGCUCAUCAAAAAUGAAGCAAGUGGCCACAUUUGGUAGUUUUGGGAUAUCUAAGUCUGGUAAAGACAUAUCUGAAUUGGACCAGCACCUUAUUCUUCAGACAAAUAUGUGCCACCUAGAUCAUGGAACUCGACUGAUGGUCAGUCGAUCGGGAGUAUAUGCACCUUCUAUUUCUCUUGAAGAUCAAGCUGCAGAUAAUGCAUUGACAAACAGUAGUCGACGUAAGCGACAACGUGGCACUAAGUGGUACUCAAACUUGGCAACUGAACAAAAAGAAGCAUACUUACAAAGGAAUCGUGACUAUAAGAAAAGAAGAAAUUCUCAUGGAGUGGGUUGUAGUAACGCACAUGAUACAACUGACAAGGCAAGUUGUAAUACACAUAAUGUAACUGGACAGACUGACAACUUGGUUCAUCAACAUAUGCCUAUGGAAAUUCAAGAGCAUAAUGAUCAUGAAUCUGAAGACACAAUCUACAUGCCAACUGAUUUUUUUCCUGCUAUCCAAGAUAAAAUUGGGGAAAUUGGAGAUGAUAUAAUAGGUGAAUAUGGGCAAACCAAAUAUAUGCUUGAAGGCGAUGAUGAAGAUUGUGAUAGCUGUUUAUUCGGCGAAGGAGGUAAGUAUUUUAGUAUAUAUCUUGUCAAAUGGAGAAAAAAAACAGAUAUUGGUAUCGAGGUAACUAUUAUACUAUUUUCUCACUUCCAAAUAACAAUGGACAUGUUCUGA